AGUGAACGCUGGCGGUAGGCCUAACACAUGCAAGUCGAACGGCAGCACAGUAAGAGCUUGCUCUUACGGGUGGCGAGUGGCGGACGGGUGAGGAAUACAUCGGAAUCUACUUUUUCGUGGGGGAUAACGUAGGGAAACUUACGCUAAUACCGCAUACGACCUACGGGUGAAAGCAGGGGAUCUUCGGACCUUGCGCGAUUGAAUGAGCCGAUGUCGGAUUAGCUAGUUGGCGGGGGAAAGGCCCACCAAGGCGACGAUCCGUAGCUGGUCUGAGAGGAUGAUCGGCCACACUGGAACUGAGACACGGUCCAGACUCCUACGGGAGGCAGCAGUGGGGAAUAUUGGACAAUAGGCGCAAGCCUGAUCCAGCCAUACCGCGUGGGUGAAGAAGGCCUUCGGGUUGUAAAGCCCUUUUGUUGGGAAAGAAAAGCAGCAGGUUAAUACCCCGCUGUUCUGACGGUACCCAAAGAAUAAGCACCGGCUAACUUCGUG
rnacentral:rRNA from 1 species